rnacentral:lncRNA from 10 species
CGUGGUGGCGUGCGCCUGUAAUCCCAGUUACUAAGGAGGCUGAGGCAGGAGAAUGGCUUGAACCCAGGAGGUGGAGGUUGCAGUGAGCCAAGAUCACGCCACUGCACUCCAGCCUGGGCGACAGAGCAAGACUGUCUCAAAAAAAAAAAAAAAAAAGCCACUUCCACUAAGACCAAAACAAUGCAAUUCUCCACAAUCUCUUCCAGAAGACAGAAGCAGAGGACAUACUUCCUAACUUAUUCUAUAAGUCCAGCAUUACUCUAAUACCAAAACCAGACAAAGACAUUAUAUGAAAACUCAGACUAAUAUCUCUCAUGAACACAGAUGCAAAAAUCCACAAAAUAUUAGCAAAUCAAGUCCAAUAAUGUAUAAAAAGAAUUAGGCACCAUCUGGGAUUUAUCCCAGAUAUGCAAGGCUGAUUCAACAUUUGAAAAUCAAUUAAUAUAACCUGUCACAUUAACAGUCUAAAAAGGAAAAAUCACAUGAUCAUAUCAAUAAAUGCAGAAAAAGCAUACAACAAAACCCCACACCCAUUCAUUAAACUCUCAUCAACUAGGAAUAGAGGUAAACUUCCUCAAUUUGAUUAAAAAACAGGUACAAAAACCCUAUAGCUAACAUAUUUAAUGUCAAACUUACUAAAUCAGAGUGUUAUCAUUGCAUGGUGGAAACUCAGGUUGCUAUGCAGGGGUGAAGGUAUUUCAUCAGAAAGAAAAAUAACUCAGACUCCAGAAUUGUUUCUAAUCAUCCAACAAUCAUAUAUUGUUCACUAUUCUAGGAGUUGUAACACUUCUCAGUAUGUUCAGGAGAAAUGACAGGAGUAACUGUCUCAUUGCUAAAUAAUUGUGCACAGUGGGGAGUACAGUGUCUUGAUCAUUAAUUCCACAAAGCUGCUAUGAGCAGAGGCACGAUGGUCAUGUUGACAUGAACCAGGGAGUCUUAAAAGGGUAGAUGGUUGGGAAAAAAGCGAGGGUAUGACGACAGGCAUAAUCAGAGAACUCAAAAGUGAUGUCAAAGUUAGGAACUUUGAACUGAGGAUCUCAAAUCACAGUAACGGAUAAGAUUGCUAAGGUAGUGACUCUCCAAGAGGUUCAUAGUAAUACUAAGCUGUUAUUUGUUCAUGUUUCCCUCGUUCUGUCAUGAAUGUACAAUGGAGCUUUCCAGAGGCUACAUUAUCACACCAGACUGAAUGUAGAAGCACAUAAGAGAAUUCUGCUAUUAAGCCGGACAUUAAAGAUAGAGUAUUUGCAAAAAUGUUAAAUAA